rnacentral:rRNA from 1 species
UACGAAGGGGGCUAGCGUUGCUCGGAAUCUCUGGGCGUAAAGGGUGCGUAGGCGGGUCUUUAAGUCAGAGGUGAAAUCCUGGAGCUCAACUCCAGAACUGCCUUUGAUACUGAGGAUCUUGAGUAUGGGAGAGGUGAGUGGAACUGCGAGUGUAGAGGUGAAAUUCGUAGAUAUUCGCAAGAACACCAGUGGCGAAGGCGGCUCACUGGCCCAUUACUGACGCUGAGGCACGAAAGCGUGGGGAGCAAACAGG